AGAGUUUGAUCCUGGCUCAGAUUGAACGCUAGCGGGAUGCUUUACACAUGCAAGUCGAACGGCAGCACGAGAGAGCUUGCUCUCUUGGUGGCGAGUGGCGGACGGGUGAGUAAUAUAUCGGAACGUGCCCAGUAGCGGGGGAUAACUACUCGAAAGAGUGGCUAAUACCGCAUACGCCCUACGGGGGAAAGGGGGGGAUCGCAAGACCUCUCACUAUUGGAGCGGCCGAUAUCGGAUUAGCUAGUUGGUGGGGUAAAGGCUCACCAAGGCAACGAUCCGUAGCUGGUUUGAGAGGACGACCAGCCACACUGGGACUGAGACACGGCCCAGACUCCUACGGGAGGCAGCAGUGGGGAAUUUUGGACAAUGGGGGAAACCCUGAUCCAGCCAUCCCGCGUGUAUGAUGAAAGCCUUCGGGUUGUAAAGUACUUUUGGCAGAGAAGAAAAGGCAUCCCCUAAUACGGGAUGCUGCUGACGGUAUCUGCAGAAUAAGCACCGGCUAACUACGUGCCAGCAGCCGCGGUAAUACGUAGGGUGCAAGCGUUAAUCGGAAUUACUGGGCGUAAAGCGUGUGUAGGCGGUUCGGAAAGAAAGAUGUGAAAUCCCAGGGCUCAACCUUGGAACUGCAUUUUUAACUGCCGAGCUAGAGUAUGUCAGAGGGGGGUAGAAUUCCACGUGUAGCAGUGAAAUGCGUAGAUAUGUGGAGGAAUACCGAUGGCGAAGGCAGCCCCCUGGGAUAAUACUGACGCUCAGACACGAAAGCGUGGGGAGCAAACAGGAUUAGAUACCCUGGUAGUCCACGCCCUAAACGAUGUCAACUAGCUGUUGGGGCCGUUAGGCCUUAGUAGCGCAGCUAACGCGUGAAGUUGACCGCCUGGGGAGUACGGUCGCAAGAUUAAAACUCAAAGGAAUUGACGGGGACCCGCACAAGCGGUGGAUGAUGUGGAUUAAUUCGAUGCAACGCGAAAAACCUUACCUACCCUUGACAUGUCUGGAAAGCCGAAGAGAUUUGGCCGUGCUCGCAAGAGAACCGGAACACAGGUGCUGCAUGGCUGUCGUCAGCUCGUGUCGUGAGAUGUUGGGUUAAGUCCCGCAACGAGCGCAACCCUUGUCAUUAGUUGCUACGCAAGAGCACUCUAAUGAGACUGCCGGUGACAAACCGGAGGAAGGUGGGGAUGACGUCAAGUCCUCAUGGCCCUUAUGGGUAGGGCUUCACACGUCAUACAAUGGUCGGGACAGAGGGUCGCCAACCCGCGAGGGGGAGCCAAUCUCAGAAACCCGAUCGUAGUCCGGAUCGCAGUCUGCAACUCGACUGCGUGAAGUCGGAAUCGCUAGUAAUCGCGGAUCAGAAUGUCGCGGUGAAUACGUUCCCGGGUCUUGUACACACCGCCCGUCACACCAUGGGAGUGGGUUUCACCAGAAGUAGGUAGCCUAACCGCAAGGAGGGCGCUUACCACGGUGGGAUUCAUGACUGGGGUGAAGUCGUAACAAGGUAGCCGUAA
rnacentral:rRNA from 1 species